GACGAACGCUGGCGGCGUGCUUAACACAUGCAAGUCGAACGGAAAGGCCCUACUUUUGUGGGGUGCUCGAGUGGCGAACGGGUGAGUAACACGUGAGUAACCUGCCCUUGACUUUGGGAUAACUUCAGGAAACUGGGGCUAAUACCGGAUAGGAGCUCCUGCCGCAUGGUGGGGGUUGGAAAGUUUCGGCGGUUGGGGAUGGACUCGCGGCUUAUCAGCUUGUUGGUGGGGUAGUGGCUUACCAAGGCUUUGACGGGUAGCCGGCCUGAGAGGGUGACCGGCCACAUUGGGACUGAGAUACGGCCCAGACUCCUACGGGAGGCAGCAGUGGGGAAUAUUGCACAAUGGGCGGAAGCCUGAUGCAGCAACGCCGCGUGCGGGAUGACGGCCUUCGGGUUGUAAACCGCUUUCGCCUGUGACGAAGCGUGAGUGACGGUAAUGGGUAAAGAAGCACCGGCUAACUACGUG
rnacentral:rRNA from 1 species